AGAUUGAACGCUGGCGGCAUGCCUUACACAUGCAAGUCGAACGGCAGCACGGGAGCAAUCCUGGUGGCGAGUGGCGAACGGGUGAGUAAUAUAUCGGAACGUGCCCAGUCGUGGGGAUAACGCAGCGAAAGCUGUGCUAAUACCGCAUACGAUCUAUGGAUGAAAGCGGGGACCAAGGCCUCGCGCGAUUGGAGCGGCCGAUGUCAGUAUUAGCUAGUUGGUGGGUAAAGCCCACCGAAGGCGACGAUCUGGUAGCUGGUCUGAGGAGGACGACCAGCCAGACUGGAACUGAGACACGGUCCAGACCUCGUACGGGAGCAGCAGGUGGGAAU
rnacentral:rRNA from 1 species